UGAAUCGAAGGAUAACUAAUCGUUGGAAUAGUUAAAUACCUUACGUAGGAAUCUGCUAUACAAUUCACAAAUAUGAACAAGUCGAAACAGUAGCUAGGGUCUGAUCUAGUAACACUGGUUUUAGCAAUGGCUGUUGCGAUUAUGUGGCGCUUUGUCAGUGCGAUUGAAACACAAAUGAAUUCACUCAAUAUAGAAGCAGCAUAG
rnacentral:misc_RNA from 1 species